rnacentral:rRNA from 1 species
AGUGAACGCUGGCGGUAGGCCUAACACAUGCAAGUCGAACGGCAGCACAGUAAGAGCUUGCUCUUACGGGUGGCGAGUGGCGGACGGGUGAGGAAUACAUCGGAAUCUACUUUUUCGUGGGGGAUAACGUAGGGAAACUUACGCUAAUACCGCAUACGUCCUACGGGUGAAAGCAGGGGAUCUUCGGACCUUGCGCGAUUGAAUGAGCCGCUGUCGGAUUAGCUAGUUGGCGGGGUAAAGUCCCACCAAGGCGACGAUACGUAGCUGGUCUGAGCGGAUGAUCAGCCACACUGGAACUGAGACACGGUCCAGACUCCCACGGGAGGCAGCAGGGGGGAAUAUUGGACAAUGGGGGCAAGCCUGAUCCAGCCAUACCGCGUGGGUGAAGAAGGCCUUCGGGUUGUAAAGCCCUUUUGUUGGGGAAGAAAAAAAGCAGGUUAAUACCCCGCUGUUCUGACGGUACCCAAAGAAUAAGCACCGGCUAACUUCGUG